CGGUACAAUCCAAAUUUGUCGAACAUCUCAUUCUGUGCUGGGAACACUGGGAGGCAGGAAGUUUGAAAAAAAACGGCCACUCCCGCCCGCAAUGUCUCGGUCGUGGUGCUUCGUGACAUCGGCUGUAUUGCGUGUUUUCGCCGACGGCUUACUACCACAAUGGCGGGAUCUGCGUUCGCCGCCUUCGUGUCUCGGUGCGUCUUUGUACGUCGCACGUUCGGAUAACACUUUUUCCGACGGCUGGACAUCCUUCUUGUACCUUGGCGCUAGCUGGAUGACGGGACCUCAUCAUGAUCAGUGUAUUGCUUUCCUAUGUCUACAAGAACCGUCACGGGUGGCCUGUGACAGCAAGCUUUUGUGGGCAGCCAGUGCUCUCCUACGAAGGCUGGCCUACUCUGGCAGCGGCGGCAAUCAUCUUCAAGAUUUAUCGAUGAUCACCUUUGUUGCUAUUUGUCACUCUUCUUAAUUACACUUUCUGCAUCUUUUCUAAUCUAUUAGGUAAUAAAGUAUGAGUAUGUGACAUGGUGUGAAGUUGAUGCCUUGCUGCAUUUUAGCUUGCAAUCACCUUUUAUGCAUGAAAAGCUCAUCAUACAAUUUAUGAAAAAAAAAUGACAGCAUAUUAUGAUUUAUCUUUCAGUAUCUUGUCACAUGCAACAUACAAGGUAUUCACUAAUGGAUGGUAUGCCGAAGAACUGGCCAUUAUUUCUGCGUGAUGCUGUGCA